GCAAGUGUGUGGCCUACAUCCUCCUGUGCCAGAACUGAAAGAAAUAGUAGAAUAUGACUUCAGAGGGAAGUUGGAGAAGGUAAGUGACUUGAUACUGUGAUGGAUGUUAUGCUACUGUUAAUAAUUACUGUUAAGUUUGAAAAACAUUAGGAUUGUAAUUCAUGAGAACAUUUCCACAUGGAUCUGGUUUCCUUUUGCUGGCAGUCAAUCUUUAAGGGUAGUGAUAAUCCGUUUGUUUUGCUAAUUUUCCCCCAAACACAGUUCAAUAAACAAUCUAAGAUCCAGUUAGCACAAGCUGUUGACGAGGCACAGGAAGCGGUCAUGUUGGGUCCAGUGCGAUACAUUCGUACAUUGGAGAGGGAUGCCCUGGUGGAGUCAGCCACUAAGUUCUACUUAGAAAGCAGGAUACGGGAUGCUCUUGAGCAAUUCAAAGAGGGUCUGGAGUGUCUAGGUCUCCUGCCUUACAUGAAUAGACACUCAAGCCUCUUCAGAGAGGUUUUCAUCUACGCUGAGAAACCUCUUUUGGCCAGACAUAGCUUCUCUUCAAAGCAGAGCUCUCCCCACCUGGUACCAAUCAAAGAGCAAUAGAGAGAAGAGUCAUGUUUCUGGAGGGACUGGCUGCUGGAGGUGGAAGUGGGGAACUCAUUCCCUUUAACCAUGGAGAAGAUUUUCAUUUUCACUUUGGGGGCUUCAACAUUCCUAGGCUGGGAUUGCCAGUGGAACCACAGCUACAGUUCUCUCUGCUACCGCACGGCAAGCGGUACCGGAGCGCCAAGUCUAGGUCCAAGAGGCUUCUAAACAGAUUCUACCCCCAAGUCAUAAGACUCCUGAACAUCUAAUCAAAUGACUACCCAGACUAUUUGCUGCCACUCUCUCUAUGCAUAGUCACUUUAAUAUCUCUACCUACAUAUAUAUAUUAACUCGACUAACCAG
ensembl:lncRNA